CACAGCCUAUCAAAAUAGCAGCACUCGGGAUGUAGCUAUGAUUUGACAGCUUGGCACACAUUAGCAGUGACAGGGAAUAGAAAACAAGUUUGAUGUUUGGAAGAUACCUAUGAGGAUUCAAGCAUUGGGACAGAUGGGUACCAAAUCUCCAUCAUCAUGCGGCAUCACACAAGUCAGCAAGAGAAAUGACGUGAUUUCCCUCUCAACGUGUUUUUGGAGCUCAUCCUGAAUGGAUAUGAAACCUUCUAAGGAAAACGAACCCUGGAACGGGACCAU